GCCUCUAUAGCUCAGUGGUAGAGCGCGUCACUAGUAAAGAUUCAGCGUAAUCGAAUCUUCACCAUGACGAGGCCGUCGGUUCGACUCCGACUGGAGGCA